ACGAACGCUGGCGGCGUGCUUAACACAUGCAAGUCGAGCGGUAAGGCCCUUUCGGGGGUACACGAGCGGCGAACGGGUGAGUAACACGUGGGUGGCCUGCCCUCAGCUCUGGGAUAAGCCUGGGAAACCGGGUCUAAUACCGGAUAUGACUCCAUGACGCAUGUUGUGGGGUGGAAAGCCUUGUGCGGCUGAGGAUGGGCCCGCGGCCUAUCAGCUUGUUGGUGGGGUGAUGGCCUACCAAGGCGACGACGGGUAGCCGGCCUGAGAGGGCGACCGGCCACACUGGGACUGAGACACGGCCCAGACUCCUACGGGAGGCAGCAGUGGGGAAUCUUGCGCAAUGGGCGAAAGCCUGACGCAGCGACGCCGCGUGAGGGAUGACGGCC
rnacentral:rRNA from 1 species